rnacentral:lncRNA from 1 species
CAGGUGUGGACAAUGGGGUGUUGGCUACUCUUUGGGCCAUGCUCCAGCAAGUCAGAAGUUUCACGAGGUUGAUCCUAGAACAGGGCAAUAUAAGGGGUGCGAAGGAAGCAAUACUGCAACAGAAAUACUCCUGAGUGCUCUGUGAGGAAGCAUUCUCUCAGCACAACCUGGUCCCUGUGCCUCCAGCCCUGCCCAGCUAAGGCAGAGAACCCGGAGUGGUCAGAACAGCUCUGCCAUGUGCUGCCCUGCUCAGCUGCCCUCUGCGCCAAGGAUGAGUGCACAGCAGCUCUUGAUAAAAAAAGAUCACUCCAGCAAAUCUCAGAGAUUGCAGGGCAGAAAAGAUUUCUGUUCCCAGUCCACUUGGCAUGCAAGUCAAAAUAGCCCGGGCCUCUUCUGCCAGUGGCUGAAGUGAAGACGCCCAACACUGUGCUGAGGGAUGACAAGCCACAGCCCAGGAGCUCAGCUGUGCCACUGAUGACUGCCCUCAAACAGGUGGGAGCAGCCGAGAUCCAGACAUUUCUUGCUGCUCACAGAGGGAAUGAGUUCCCACACCUGGUGCUUCUCAGAUCUCGCUCAGCAGGACACAGACAGGGCUGCUUCCCUGCCCUGCAGGUAUGUUUUGAAAGCAAGCGGAUUGAAGUCAACAGGCCCCACACAGAACUGUAGAAGGGACUGCAGUGAAAGGAAGGUGCCCUUAACGGUGUUUAGCUU